rnacentral:rRNA from 1 species
GACGAACGCUGGCGGCGUGCCUAAUACAUGCAAGUCGAGCGGACCGAACAGGAGCUUGCUCUUGUUCGGUUAGCGGCGGACGGGUGAGUAACACGUGGGUAACCUGCCCGUAAGACCGGGAUAACUCCGGGAAACCGGAGCUAAUACCGGAUAACACCGAAGACCGCAUGGUCUUUGGUUGAAAGGCGGCUUCGGCUGCCACUUACGGAUGGGCCCGCGGCGCAUUAGCUAGUUGGUGAGGGAACGGCUCACCAAGGCGACGAUGCGUAGCCGGCCUGAGAGGGUGACCGGCCACACUGGGACUGAGACACGGCCCAGACUCCUACGGGAGGCAGCAGUAGGGAAUCUUCCGCAAUGGACGAAAGUCUGACGGAGCGACGCCGCGUGAGCGAAGAAGGUCUUCGGAUCGUAAAGCUCUGUUGUUAGGGAAGAAGAAGCGUCGUUCGAACAGGGCGGCGCGGUGACGGUACCUAACGAGAAAGCCCCGGCUAACUACGUG